CCUCCUCUUCUUCCUCUUCUUCCUCCCAGCUCUUCAGACACAGGAGCCUUUGCACAGGUAUCUACGUGCCGGUUCCCUCACCUGCGGGUCUCGGCGAGGCUUUCCCCGGUCGCCCUGUUUCACACGGUAACCCUGAGCGCGCUGCGUCCUUUCCCUAGCGCUUUUUCCAAGCGUCUCCUGCCGUCUGCCCCUCCAGAUAUGUUUUACGCCCUUGUGUUGUGUACUGUGUGCCUCCCCCGCUCGACUGCAAACUCCACAACGGUGAGGAGUUUUAAGUGUCCUGUUCACUGCAACCAGGAGAAUGUCUGGCACACGGGAGGCGCUCGAUAACCUUAGCUGCAAGGUUGAACGGUGGGGGGGGGGGGGGUCCAUCCUUGCGGCUCGCGCGCUGUUCUGUCUCCUAUGUACUGUCCCGUUUUGCAGGCGAAGAACCCAAGGCCUAGAGAAGUCAAGUGACUCGGCCAGUGUCACCAACCCAGCGGUAGCCUCCGUGCGACUCCAUGCUAGUGUGUGUUAGUGGACUGCGUGGGAUACGGGUGGCGAGCGUGAACAUCCUUGCCCUGUUCUCUCUGUUACGGGGAAAGCAUCUAGUCUUUCCGCAUCGAGUACAAUGUUAACUGCAGUUUGCGCGUUAGUUUCCUGUGGCUGCUCUGGCAAAUUACCUCAAGCGUGGAGGCUUAAAACGACACAAAUGUAUUUCGUGGAUCUCACAGAACCGAAAUCAAGGGGUUGCCAGAGAUGCGUUCUUUUCUGGAGGCUCAGAAGAUGACUCGAUUUCCCUGCCUUUUCCAGUUUCUAGAAGCUUCUUGGGUUCCUUGACUCAUGGUCCCCUUUCUCCAUCUCCAAAACCAGCAAAUACAGGCAGAAUCCUUACAUCACAUCACUCCGAAUUUCUUCUGUUGUGACUACUGUCGUCUGCUUUUAAGGACCCCUGUGAUGGCAUCGCCCCCACCCAGCUAAUCCAGGCUAAUUUCUUUAUUUUCAAGGCAGUUGAUUAGAAAUUUAAGUUCCAUCUGCACCUUAAAUCCCCUUUGCCAUGUAAUCUAACAUAUUUACAGGUCCUGAGGAUUAGAAUGUGAACAUCUUUAGGGAACCGUUAUUCCACGACCACAGCCUGUUAAAUAUGAUGGCUAACAUUGAUUGAUUCUUGAAUACUGAACCCGCUAUUCAUCCCUGGAGUAAACCCCACUCAGUCAUGGUGUGUAAUUCUUUUUAUAU